UAGCUCAGUCAGUUAGAGCGUGGUGCUGAUAGUACCAAGGCCGCGGGUUCGAUCCCCGC
rnacentral:tRNA from 1 species